GGGGUUGUAGCUCAGUCGGAUAGAGCGAGUGCCUCCUAAGCGCUAGGCCGCCGGUUCGACCCCGGCCAAUCCCG
rnacentral:tRNA from 1 species